GAUGAACGCUGGCGGCGCGCUUAAGACAUGCAAGUCGAACGGAGAUACCCGGUAGAUUUAUCUUCUGGAAUAUCUUAGUGGCGGACGGGUGAGUAACACGUGAGCAACCUGCCUUCAAGAGGGGGAUAACAGAGAGAAAUUUCUGCUAAUACCGCAUAAGACCACAACGUCGAGUGGCGAAGGGGUCAAAGGAGUAAUCCGCUUGAAGAUGGGCUCGCGGCUGAUUAGCUAGUUGGAGUGGUAACGGCACACCAAGGCGACGAUCAGUAGCCGAACUGAGAGGUUGAUCGGCCACAUUGGGACUGAGACACGGCCCAG
rnacentral:rRNA from 1 species